rnacentral:rRNA from 1 species
GAUGAACGCUAGCGGGAGGCCUAACACAUGCAAGCCGAGCGGUAUUGUUUCUUCGGCAAUGAGAGAGCGGCGUACGGGUGCGUAACACGUGUGCAACCUGCCUUUAUCUGGGGGAUAGCCUUUCGAAAGGAAGAUUAAUACUCCAUAAUCUAUUGAACGGCAUCGUUUAAUAUUGAAAGCUCCGGCGGCUAGAGAUGGGCACGCGCAAGAUUAGCUAGUUGGUGAGGUAACGGCUCACCAAGGCGAUGAUCUUUAGGGGGCCUGAGAGGGUGAUCCCCCACACUGGUACUGAGACACGGACCAGACUCCUACGGGAGGCAGCAGUGAGGAAUAUUGGUCAAUGGGUGCAAGCCUGAACCAGCCAUCCCGCGUGAAGGACGACUGCCCUAUGGGUUGUAAACUUCUUUUGUAUAGGGAUAAACCUACCCUCGUGAGGGUAGCUGAAGGUACUAUACGAAUAAGCACCGGCUAACUCCGUG